CCUUAAACUACACUCGUAGGCAAAGUUACACCCUUUGGCUUGCCCCUUCUGCCACACAACAAUAAUCGCUAUCUGCCUUGAUGCGUUUCCUUUCUUUAACUCUGCGAGCCCGGUACUUUCCAGUAACGAACGGCACGCGCGUUAUCAGCAUAGAACUGUUUACACCCUUCGGAGUGCCCCUUCUGAUAACGCGCGUGCCGUUCGUUACUGGAAAGUUCCGGGCUCGCAGCGUUAAAGAAAGGAAACGCAUGAAGGCAGAUAACGAUUAUUGUUGUGUGGCAGAAGGGGCAAGCCAAAAGGUGUAACUUUGCCUAAGAGUGUAGCCUCUCCUUCGUUACUGCCACUGUUUUCUCGUCUAUUUGCCCUCGUUCCCCGGGAAAUCCUAAUGCCCCUUCCAUAUCUGUCACUGUUCCCUCAGCCAGAGUCGGGCGAAAGUCUGUGCAUCUCAGCUCUGUGGUCUCCAGGUGGUCUCAAUUUCGGCUCCGCAAACUGUGCAUAAAAGUGCAAGCGGGCCCGCACUGUGAGUGAGUCGGGGAGCUCCGACAGCGACUCCGAUUCAUUGUGCGUGCUUAGCGAGCUGAAGGCAGCCCAAGAAAAAGUGCAGAUAUGGAAGGCGAGCAGAGAACGAGUCGUUUCGUUAAGAGAAAUGCCUCGAGAGUAAGAUUUUUCAGUCCCCAUCCAUGACAGUGGGCAGACGCAAAGCUGCUGCCAAAGUCCCCAAGGAAGUGGAAAAGAGCAGCAUUGAGAGAGAAACCUCGCUUGGUGAAGAGUUGGCUUGUGGUUCCACUGGAUCCACAGCUCCUGCUUCGCAGCAGCCAAUGUUGCUACACCACCAAGCCAAAUCAGCAGCAAUGUAACAACAGCUGCUAACUUCACGUACUUGGAUGAUGUCAUUCCACGCUGAAGCACCGGGGUGCAGAAAAGAACAUGGACGUAGAAUCGACAGUACUGAACCUGGGCCGCCUGCUGUCGGAGAAGAUUCAGGACGUCUUGAAAUCAAAGCACCGGCUCAAAUUGUAAUAAAACCUGGCAAGCUGGACAUUGUCA